UACGUAGGUGGCAAGCGUUGUCCGGAUUUACUGGGCGUAAAGAGCGCGCAGGCGGUCGUUCAAGUCGCGUGUGAAAGCCCCCGGCUCAACUGGGGAGGGUCACGCGAUACUGAUCGACUCGAAGGCAGGAGAGGGUAGUGGAAUUCCCGGUGUAGUGGUAGAAAUGCGUAGAUAUCGGGAAGGAACACCAGUGGCGAAGGCGACUACCUGGCCUGUUCUUGACGCUGAGGCGCGAAAGCUAGGGAGCAACGGG
rnacentral:rRNA from 1 species